rnacentral:rRNA from 1 species
UACAGAGGGUGCGAGCGUUGUCCGGAAUCACUGGGCGUAAAGGGCGCGUAGGUGGUGGCUUAAGCGUGCGGUGAAAGCUCGGGGCUCAACCCCGAGUCGGCCGUGCGAACUGGGCUCACUGGAGCAUAGUAGAGGCAAGGUGGAAUUCCGGGUGUAGCGGUGGAAUGCGUAGAUAUCGGGAGGAACACCUGUGGCGGAAAGCGGCUCACUGGACCACAACUGACGCUGAGGCGCGAAAGCUAGGGGAG